AUUGAACGCUGGCGGCAGGCCUAACACAUGCAAGUCGAGCGAGCGGCGGACGGGUGCGUAAUGCCUGGGAAUUGCCCAGUCGAGGGGGAUAACAGUUGGAAACGACUGCUAAUCCCGCAUACGAUUGUCUUCCCCAGGUGGUAUUCGCUAGUGGGUGAGGUACUGGCUCACCCAGGCGACGAUCCCUAGCUGGUCUGAUAGGAGGAUCAGCCACACUGGAACUGAGACACGGUCCAGACUCCUACGGGAGGCAGCAGUGGGGAAUAUUGCACAAUGGGGGAAACCCUGAUGCAGCCAUGCGGCGUGUGUGAAGAAGGCCUUCGGGUGGUAAAGCACUGUCAGCGAGGAGGCGUUACUCGCAGAAGAAGCACCGGCUAACUCCGUGCCAGCAGCCGCGGUAAUUC
rnacentral:rRNA from 1 species